rnacentral:rRNA from 1 species
UACGUAGGGUGCAAGCGUUGUCCGGAAUUAUUGGGCGUAAAGAGCUCGUAGGCGGUUUGUCGCGUCUGCUGUGAAAACUCGGGGCUUAACCCUGGGCCUGCAGUGGGUACGGGCAGACUAGAGUGCGGUAGGGGAGACUGGAAUUCCUGGUGUAGCGGUGAAAUGCGCAGAUAUCAGGAGGAACACCGAUGGCGAAGGCAGGAUCUCUAGGCCACUACUGACGCUGAGAAGCGAAAGCAUGGGGAGCGAACAGG